AAAAGGUCACAAAACGACUCACCUUCAGCCAGCCACGUCUCCUGGAAGUGACUUAAAUCCUGGAAGAGGUCUGAGGGGGUGAAUAAUGGAAUUGGAGAAGAUAUAGAGGCAAGCAGAAAGAAGGAGAGAAAGUGAGAGAGUCAAGUGUAUCUCUCAACUCAGGCAUAUAUGGUGGUACUAGGGAUUGAACCUGGAGCCUCAGACAUACACCAGGUUCCUGAUGCUACCAUGAUACCAACCGGACUUCCCAGGGCAGACGACCCUACCAAUGUGUCUUGGAGUCCCAUCUCCCCAGAUCCCUACCCCACUAGGAAAAGAGAGAGACAAGCUGGGAGUAUGAAUUGACCUGCCAACACCCAUGUGCAGUGGGGAAGCAAUUAUAAAAGCCAGACCUUCCACCUUCUGCAUCACAAUGACCCUCCAUGUUCCCGGAGGGUUAAAGAAUAGGAAAGUUAUCAGGGAAGGGAACAGGAUAUGGAAUUCUGGUGGUGGGAAUUGUGUGGA